CGUUAAGAAACCAACCACCUCUCAAGUCUCGACCCAUGGCCCCAAGCAUUUGAAUUCCUUAUGCUCAAAUGCUUUUCAAACUAGAUCUCUGGAUGUUUAUUAUAAGUUAAAACUCUAAGAUAUAAUAAUAUUAUAAAUAUAUAAAGAUUUUUAAAAUAUUUAAUUUUGUUUUUCUUUAUUUUUAUUUUUCAAAAAAUUAUUAUAAAUCUUUAUAUAGAAAAUAAACUACAAAACCCUAAUAAUAAUAAUGAGGGGAAACAAACUAUAAAAGCAUCAUAAUAAUGAAUAGAAAAAUAAAAUUAACAAAGUAAAUUAUUUAUUUUUCUAAAAAAGUUUCUACAUCAAAUGUUUGUUUUUCUUCGUUUUUUUGCAAUUAGGUUGUCAACUACAGUUAUUAGAUCCAACUCUAUCUCUACCUAAUGGUUUGACUCUUAAAAUCCAUGACUGGAGCAAAGUUUUGAUUUGAUCUAAUUUUGACAUUAUUCUCUGACCAAAAUCCAAAUAACUUUCAAAUUAAUAUGCAACUCAAUGCAUAUACUUAUAUUCAAAAUCCAAAUUAAUGGGUCUUAUCCUCUAUUUAUUGCUCCGGAAUAAAUUAUAUUGAUUUUAUACCUGCUCCACGUAUAAUAUAUAUAUAUAUAUAUAUAUAUAUAUUUUUUUUUUCAAACUUUGUUAAUUUGUAAUUGAUUUUUUUUUUCGAGGAGAGAGGACUUGAUUAAGUUGUAUAAAGGGAAUGAUAAUGGCCAAAAUCACUACUAAGUACAAACAAAAUAUUCUAUGCAGGAGAGUUACAUGUUAGUGGCCUAGUGAUAAAAGCUUGGGAUCAAGAAGUUUAUUCUUUCUGUGGUCUCAGGUUCGAAUCCUAGGUUAUUCAUAUGAUGAGCACUAGAGAUUUAUAUGAUCGUUAACUUCAGGGCCCGUAGGAUUAGUCGAGGUGCGCGUAAACUGACCCGGACACCCAUAUUAAUCUAAAAAUAUAUAUAUAUAUAUAUAUAUAUAUAUAUAUAUAUAUAUAUAUAUAUAUAUUCUAUGCAUGUGUGACAACACUUAUAUCUGCAUUUGUAUCAAGGGCAACCCCACCUCAGCUAUUCAAUCAAAGCACUGAAAUUGGAGCAAGAAGAUCCACCUUCUUCAACAGCAUUCCUGGUCGUUUCUUCUAGCUUCUUUGUUCUGCUCCUCAUUUCCUCUGCUUCUCUACAGCUUCACUUUUAACAUGAUCUCCAUGCACUGUAAGCCAUUCCUCAACUCCAACACCAACUCCAGUUUUUAAAACAUCGGUCACCAACUUUUCAUUAUGGAAUUGCUCAGCAAAACAUCAGGCACCAUCCUCAAUGAGUCACAAAUGCACCUAUUGCUUCAUGAUCAAGAAUCAAAACUUGGAGUGCUCAUCCUCUAAUAAUUAGGCCUUUGCCUUCCAUUCUUCCCUCAAAUCCUUCAGGUAAACAAUCCUUCAGAUAAAUUGAUGCCUGCUGCAAUCUCCUUAAGCUGAGAGGCAGUGAAGUUUGCCAUGCUUCCAAAGCAAAUAUAAACAACUGAAUUUGGUUUCUUUGAGUCGAGUCACUUCAACUGAAUUUGCCAUGUUGAGCAAUUGAGGCUUGUUUUCCUCUUCCUGCUUCAUCUUCAUUGUCUCUAUUGCAUAGCGAAACCAGGCCCACGUUAAUUCACACCCUCUUUAAUUGACCCAACAAGACAAUGUCCUAACCAUACAGGUUCCUCUUCUACAGAUUCAUGGAUCACUUUAUGCAAAGCAGAGGCAUGAUUUUCUGGAAAAAGAGUGUCUUGGGAACUUACAGUAGAUUUCGUUGGAACUCUUCUCUCAGGACGUAGCAUAGCUUCUUGAAUCUCUGUUUCUAAUCGGAACAGGGGAGCAACGAGAAGCUAUGAGUGGUCGCAGAAUUGUUUUAAAAAUUUAAUGAUCAAAAGGAAGAAAAUAAAAAAAAUCUGCCUUGUGUUUUAAAAAACACCUCCCUCUGUUUCCUCAACAUGUCAGGUCAUAUUUUUGGUUGCAAAUCUUGUAUCCCUGGCGAUCCCUCCUCUUUUUUAAUUACUGUGUGCUAUUGUUUUAGAUCUGAGGUGUAAACUGACCCCGACAGAGGAUACACUCUAUACCCAAUCUAUGUAGUAUGAUGAAAAUACAUGAUAUUUCUUCUUACAUGCCAAAAAAAUAUUUAUUUUCAGUACACUACUCACGUACUAUUUCUUUAGUUUUCUUCUUGGGCAUAAUCACCAAGCCUGUAUUCAUGUACAAUCUAGAACAAAAUGGAAUUACAUAGCAGGACUUUGGUUUCUUAUAUCAAUUUUCUUCAGAGUUGACAGCUAUGACAAUAAGCUACCAAAGACAAACAUGUUCUUGAAAAAUUUGGUAAACAUACUUAAAUUAUCUGUAACAUUUACAGACUCUGAUUACUGAUCGCUGAGACUUCAUUUUUUUUUUUUCUGUUUGUUGAGAAAGUCCAAGCAAGCACUAGGAUAACUUACUAGUGAAAAAUAUUAAUCUACAAUUUACACUUACUGAUAACAUGCAUGUAGAUAUCUUAUUGGUUGGGUUUUACAAUUUACACUUUCUAAUUUAUAAAACCAGGAGUAAAUAACAUAUAUCAGAGGUUUAGGUAGCUUCCUGUCCAUGUGAAAACACAAGAACGACAAGUUAAAUUUGACCACAUGUUAUCCUAUUGAAAUAUGACAUGUGUUGUUGGACACAUGCCAAGCACAUUAUCACAUGAACAAUGAAUCAGCAGAAGGAAUUUUUAGUUAGAUAUUAGUCUUAAGAUUUAAAAUUUUAAAAAAAUAAUCAUCAUUUUUUAAAUACCAUAUCAGCCCCCUAACUUGUAAAAAUGACAAAUGCUACCACUGGCUAUCCCAUGCUAUUGCUGGCUAUAUGUGAGGCCUUAAUUUGCCUAGGGCCAUAUGGUCCAGAUAAUAAUUUUCUUAAAUGAAAAAAACGUUAUCUUUAUUGUUAAUUAAGCUUGGCACCCUGUAGCAAACAUCUGAGAUAGAAACUGCAUCAAGGGUUUUUGUUUUUCCGUUCUUCAGGAUUGGUGAUUCUGGAGCAAGUAGCCAUGGCCAUGAUCGCAGUGCAGGUGGCGCUCGAGAAACUGGCUUCCUUUGUAGCAGAAGAAACACGGUUCUUGGGAGGAGUUAGAGGGGGAAUCGUUGAACUACAGGAUGAUUUGUAUAGCAUGAAAUCUUUCCUUCAGGAUGCGGAACAAAGGAGUGAGAGUGAUCAAGGACUGAGAGCCUGGGUCAAACAAGUGAGAGAUGUGGCUUAUGACGCUGAGGACAUUCUUGAAGAGUUCAUGCUCCGGUUUGCUCCAUCUCACGGGAGUGGUUUUAUCCAUUAUCUUCGAAAUUCAUAUCGUUCCAUCCGUAAAUUAAGUGCACGGCACCGGCUGGCAGUCCAGUUACAAAGCAUUAAAGCAAGGGUGAAAGCCAUUUCUGAGAGAAGAAAUGCAUUUUCUUUGAAUAGGAUAGACAUGCCAUCAACCUCCGGUGCUACCGUAGAGAAAUGGCAUGAUCCCCGGUUUGCUGCUCUUUACUUAGAUGAAGCUGAUGUCGUGGGAAUUGAGAACCCAAAACAUCUACUGGUUUCGUGGCUUGUGGAAUGCGAAGAAAAGCUCUCCAGUAUCUCUGUGGUUGGAAUGGGUGGGUUGGGAAAAACAACCCUCGUAAAGAAAGUCUAUGACAGCCACCCCAUCAGAAGAAGCUUUGAUACCCAUUCUUGGGUUACAGUUUCCAAAUCGUUUGCAUCCACGGAGCUCCUACGAGUUGCUCUGCAGGGGUUUCUGGCGACAGCAAACGAACCUGUUCCGGAUAAUUUGCAAUCAAUGACUGACUUGCAAUUAAUUGAUGCUCUAAGAAAUUAUCUAUGGAGAAGGAGGUAUGUCAUUGUUUUGGAUGAUGUAUGGACUGUAAACGCUUCGAAUCCCAGUGGGAGUGGGGCUGGAGAGUUUGCUCUCUUUCUAUUUCUCUUGGGUCCUCCCUAUGAUGUAUCCCUGUCACCCCCGCGGUGUCUUACCUGCUCACUAGGGCUUGCAGGAUGUUCAGUGGGCCGUGGGAUUAGUCGUGGUGCGCGUAAGCUGGCCCGGACACCCACGUUAUCAAAAAAAAAAAAAAAAAAAAAAAAAAAAAAAAAUAAUAAAGUAUGCAUUUCCUGAUUGUAACUGUGGUAGUAGAAUUAUCUUCACUACACGUUUAAGUAACUUGGCUGAAGCUAUAGAGAACACUAGUCAUGUUUAUGAACUCCAAGCUUUACCAGAAAAUGAAGCUUGGACCCUCUUUUGUAUGAAAGCCUUUAGAGGGGAACAUAAGGCUGCAUGCCCUCCAGAACUGGAAGACAUGUCUCGAAAUAUCUUAAAGAAGUGUGAGGGACUGCCACUUGCAAUUGUAGCAAUAGCUAAGUGUGAGGGCCUACUGUCGAAAAAGAAAAACGGAGGUUUGGAAUGGAAGAAAGUCCAAGACUGCCUAGCUACAGAAUUGAAAAGUAACAACGACCUUGGGAGUGUACGUAGAAUACUUCAACUAAGUUAUGAUAAUCUUCCUUACUACCUCAAACAGUGUUAUUGUAUUUAAGUGUUUUUCCAGAUGAUUAUUUGAUAAAAAGAAGGAAGUUGAUCCGGCUAUGGAUAGUUGAAAGGUUUGUGGAAGAGAAGCAAGGCUUUACAAUGGAGGAAGUAGCAGAGGAAUACCUUAAUGAACUCGUGAAUAGGAGUUUGAUCCAAGUGGUGGAGAAGAAUUAUUUUAAUAGGGUCAAGACAUGUCGUGUUCAUGAUCUAAUGCGAGAAAUCAUUCAAAUGAAAUCCAGGGAAGAAUCUUUUGUUAUGAUAGCAAACGGAACAAGAAUCAGCAAGAAUGAGAAAGUUCGGCGUCUAUCAAUCCAUGAGAACUCUGAGGAAGUACAAUCAGAUAUGAGAUUUCCUUAUCUGUGGUCUUUGUUGUCAUUUUCUUCACAUCAUUCUUUUGAGCACGGUUUUCGCAAUUACAAUCUGUUGAGAGUGUUGAAUUUAGAUCGAGCUCCCCUUUCCACCUUCCUACCUGAAUUGGUUGAACUGAUUCAUUUGAGAUACUUAAGUUUGAGAUGGACCAUGAUAAGUGAGCUUCCAGAGUCCAUAAGGAAGCUCAAGUACUUGGAAAUACUGGAUUUGAAAAGGAGUCCUGUAUCUUCUUUGCCUGCUGGGAUCACACAAUUGACAUGUCUUUGCCAGCUCCGUAACUAUCGAUACAUUUUCCAGUCCUCAUCGUUCUUCCCAGACACUCAUGGAAUGAGAGUUCCAUCAGGAAUAGGAAGAUUGACGAGCCUGCAGAAAUUGGGAAGGGUCGAAGUGAAUGAAGAUUAUGAGUUAGUCAGGGAGUUGGGAAAGCUAACUCAGUUGAGAAGGCUGGGCAUUUUAAAGCUAAGAGAAGAGCAGGGAAUGGAUCUCUGUUAUACUUUGGACAGGUUGAAACACCUUACUGCAUUGUAUCUUGUUUCACUAAACAACACUGAAUUCUUACAAUUUGACUCUCUUUCAUCUCCUCCAAAAUAUCUCCAACGACUAGAUCUCAAAUGUAGUCUUCCAGCUUUACCAGGAUGGAUAGCUUCACUCCAGUAUAUUUCCAAUUUUCUAAUUUGAAAUGUGAUCCUCUCAAGGUCCUCCAGAAAUUGCCUAGUUUGGUGAUGCUUGAACUCCGUCAAGCUUAUGCAGGGGAAGAACUUUGUUGUGAUCCUAGUGGAUUUUCAAAGCUGAAGAGGCUAGGUCUCCAUGAACUGGAGAGAUUGCGGCGCAUCAGAAUAGCAAAGGGAUCAAUGCCUGGGUUAGAGAGGCUAGACAUCACAGCAUGCACGGUGCUAGAAACUGUGCCGGAUGGGAUUGAAAACCUGAAAAAUAUAGGAGACCUGGUUCUGUGGUAUAUGCCUUCAACGUUCAUCAAGACAAUAGAGAGCUACCGUGGUGAAGAUUUCUGGAGAGUUCAACAUAUCAGAACAAUCACCCGUAUCUACGAGAGCCAGGGGAGACGGGUCUCUGAAACUCUUCUGUAAUUAGAGGGGUUAACUACGGAGAGAAUACAGUUUCCGGAAAAUUAUAAUCUCUGUCAAGUUCCUCAGGUAAUGCUGAGCCUCAGAAAACAGAAAACUGCUGCUCUUCCCUCCUCUUCUCUGCUCCUUUGUCUCUGUUUUGCUGUUGUUGAAUCUUCCAACCUGCUAUCUUGCCCAUGUUUUAUAAAUUCAUUUUGAUGGGAUAGAGAUUGAUGCAGUGGAAUCUUGACUUCACAGGUCUACGAAGAAGAAAAACAAGUGCUACUGGAUGAUGAGAUUAAAAGACUUGUCAGAAAAUCAAAUCAAUCUUGACUUCACAGUUGUAGUAUUAUUAGUUUUUAAAAUUUUUAACCGUGUCAUCUAAUUGAAUGAUUAUACAGAGGUCCGAUGGCAUGAUGUUGGACAGAUUACGAAAACUAACCACUAGAAAACCGCAGCAUAAUAGUUGCGAUUCUUCAAUGAAGUAAAACCACCUGCGUCGCCAGUAAGGAUUUAUGUGCAUAAUAGUUGCGAUUGACAACAUCAUAAUUUUUUUUUGGUUAAUAGUAAAAAUUUUAUUAAAAAAAAACUACAAAGAUAAUAGCCUAACUUCCAUCAAAUAAACAAGCAGUGGAAAGAAAAACACAAUACUGUUACAUAAAACAAGAGAGAGCAACAAAAAAGGGAACAAACAAAUCAUAAGAAACCAACUCCUCCCGACUAAACAUUCUUUAUAUUAAGCUUUAAAGAGUUGGAAUCAAGCCUCAGCCAUAAAGCAAUACUUUGGAGCACCAUGGAGAAACAUAUUUGAAGGUUAGGGGCAACGUCAUUAAAAAUAACAUCAUUUUGGUGAAGCUAAAAAUUCCAAACAACACAUGAGAAAAGAAGUUGUCAUGAGAGAUUUUGCUGCUUGCCUUUAACCAUAGAAAACUAUUGGUAGCACAUAUCAUCAACAGAUUUUGGAAAAACACUGUAAAAGCCCCGAUUAGAAAGCAGUUUCAUCCAUAUAUUUCAAGUGAAGUGGCAGUGAAUGAAGAGGUGACUUGAAGAUUCCAAGCUUUUAUUGCAUAAAGCGCAUUCUGACUCCUGAAAGGUGAGGUAGUCAUGCUGAAAUAGAAAAUCUCUUGUGGUUACUUUGUCUUCGACAAGGAGCCAAAGGAAAAGUUGCACUUUUGGUGGGUUUAGUUUUAUCCAAACAGAAGAUUGGAAUGGUUCGGUACCAUCAUAGAGCAGCUGGUCCAUCAUUUUGGAGCAAGAUUUUACAUUAAAAAGGCCAUCGUUGUUGAGGAUCUAGAUUUUCUUAUCCAUCUUGUAACAGAAUAUUGGCUUAGAUUCCAGCAAGGAUGAUAAAAGUCAUGGAAAUGGACAAAGUGUGUUAUAAAUAGGACCUCUAUAGUUGCCUAAACUCACAUAACGAACAACAAUAUUCUACAAACUGUAGUGCUUCAUAGAAUUAUCUAAGAUUUCUGCUCUCUCUUCAUAUUUCUAUCUUCCACCAAAUCUGGGUUUGCUCAGAGUCUGUUCCACAAUGUUAGAUUUAUUUCUGAACUCUCAAGAUUUUCUUGUUUAAUUUUGUGUUUCCUCUUAAUUUAAUAAAAAUGCACAUGGUUUUAUUACUGUUGUAACCCAAUUUUGGAUUCACCAAGUUUUUCUCGAAUGUUAUUUUAUUUCUAUUAUUAUUUAUAAAAAUCCAAAAAAAUAUAAAAAAAAGUUUAAAAUGCAAAAAAAUAUUUUUUCUCGAGUCAACCGCGUCUUUCCAUCAAAACCAAGUUCACUGGGUCAAUACGGGUCAAACCAUGUUGACUAGGGUAAAAAAUGAGUUUUUGGGCUGUUUCGGGUCAAAACCAUCAUUUUCGACCAAAACCGAGUUCACUGGAUCAAUACGGGUCAAACCAUGUCGAUCAGGGUAAAAAAUAAGUUUUUGGGUUGUUUCAGGUCAAAACCGUCAUUUUCGACCAAAACCGAGUUCACCAGGUCAAUAUGGGUCAAAACCGUCAUUUUCGACCAAAACUGAGUCCACUAGGUCAAUACAGGUCUAACCAUGUCGACCGGGAUGAAAAAUGAGUUUCAGGCUGUUUUAGGUCAAAAUCUAUUAUUUUAUGUCAAAACCCGGUCCACUGGGUCGAUACCCAUUGAAAGUGUUUUUUUUUUUUUUAUGUUUUGACAUAAUUUUUAGUAAUUAAAAUUGAUUUUUAGCGGUUGAGUCAGGCUUUUUUCUAAUACUGAUUUGAGUUUUUAAUUUUACCUAUAUAAUUAUUUAUUAUUACAUAUAAUAAAACAAAAUUAAUAAUAUAAAAUUUGUAAUAUUAGGUGGUGCAUUUCAACGAUUGUAGGCAGCGUAUUUUUUCUGACAACUAUUGUAAGAAGCCUAAUUUUGCCGAUACCAUGGUAGGCGUUGUUGGCGAUUUGUCCCCUGUCACUGGCUAUGGCUAUAAAUAGCCAGCGAUAAUUCGACACAGGGGAAGGGAGGCAGAAAAGAAGUGAAAGAAUUGAUUUAUAUUUGCCACUAUUCAUUUUUUCUUGUUUUUCUUCGGGAGAGUAAGAUAUAUUUUUUUAAAAAAAACAAUUUGAAAAAUACCAAACAUAUCCCAACAAAUCUCAGCAGUUGAAAUAAUCUGAGAUUGGAUCCCGUUGCGCCACGUCACCCGAUGUACCGAGCUUUCGGUGCACCGCGCUACACCGAAUCAAAACCCAGACAAUCCGGGCCGUCCAAUCAACCUGCAGAUCAAGCCAAUCACAGCCAUCCAAUCAUUUCAUCCGAGAUCCAACGUCAUAUAGAGUUCAGCGGUACAGGUGUAUCGUGCAUGCGUUCACACCAUAGCGUGACUCAGAGCUUCUCUCUCUUCUUCCUGGCGACUCCCUCUCCCUCAUCCGAUCUCCACUUUCCGCCCAUCUCAAGCCUCCGCACCACCACAGAACGGUUGAUCCACUGGUUUAAAGCAAAACCCCGGCGAUUUUAACCGUUUUUGCCGCCUCAUCUGGCCGGAAAAAGGCCAUGAUCCUCGCAGGCCACCGAAGCUUCAAGUCGACGAUUCUCCCUCGUCAGCUAUCAACGAUCAUCGAGACCACCACCAUCAGAAUCCUCUCCAUGAGAUCUACCAAAAUCAACCAUUGAUUGGUCGUAAAGCUCGCCAGAAAGUUUCACCGCCACCAACAGUAACCGCGCGUGAGCCACACGCGCCGCCAGUGGCAUUUUUGUGAUUUUCCAAGAAAUCCGAGGGUAUUUCAGUCUGUUACCUAUACAGGGGCAUUCAGGUAAAUGUUUUGAGAUUCCUAACAUUUUUUUAUAUAAAUAUUUGUAAAUUUGCUUGCAUGUUGUAAAACAAGAAAAACAAAAAAAACAAAAACAAGUAUAAAAAGAAUAACGACACGGGUCCAACACCCAUCCUAUCAUGUUAUCGUUCGUGGGUUCCAAGCCCAAUUCUCGAAUAUGAUUAUACCCAUUUCUCAACGAUAUCAAAAUAUUUUUAUUUUAUAAACGAAUAUUGUUCGUCAACACGUCUCUUUUUUUACAGAAAAGGACCGAUGUCAAAAAGUUAAAAUACCAAAUAUGGAUUAUGUCCAUAGUUUUUUGGUAACUCAGACGUAUUUCUCAUUUUUAGGGUUAAACGUCAAUAUUUUAGACAAGUUUCCUAUUUUUUAGGAACUGAUGUCAUUUUUUUAACGUGUCUCCUACGAACGUUGUUUGUCGACACGUCUCUUUUUACAGAAAAAGACCGAUGUCAAGGAUAUUUAUACUAAAUAUGGAUUAUGUCCAUUUUUUUUUCUUUUGGUAACUCAAACGUAAAUCUUCUUUUUAGGGUUAAACGUCAAUAUUUUAGACAAGUUUCCUAUUUUUUAGGAACUGAUGUCAUUUUUUUAACGUGUCUCCUAAUUUUAGGGACCGACGUUAACUAUUUUAUUAAAAAAAACAAAAUUGCAAAUAAGCUCAAAAUAUAAUAACAUUUGAAUCAAAUAUAAAAACACACAAGUAAGGGUAACCUUUUUUUUGAAAGGAUGUUUUAAGGGUGAUGUCUACCUUCCCUUAAUCAUAACUAACCUAGUAUCUGAAUCUUUGAGACCAGUGUCUAAUUUAGGAUUUUUAAUUCCCUCAAAUUACUAGAUGGUGACUCUAAUAAAAUCUUUAUUUCCCCCAAUAAAAAAUUCUUUUGUUAAAAAAAUAACAAAAAGAGUGGAACCAUCGCCCGACGUCGUGUAUCGACAAUUACUAUAAUGAUGAGAAUCAAUAGAGUCUUGCAUUUGAAAUUAGACCCUACAAUCUAACCUCUUAAUUAGCUGUUGAGAUUGUUACAUAACAAAAUAGAACAAUCCCCUGUUUCAUGAUGUUCUUGGAUCCUUUCUCCUCUAAAUUAUCCAUUUAUCAUGCUUUUAUUCAAGUUGAAUUUGAAGUCUUGGAUUGUUAGGGUGGCAUCGUUUUCCAACAUGCCUUAAUUUCUUCCGCAAGGAAAUCAUUAGGAAAGUACUGGUUGGUGCUAUGCAACCGCAUCAGUUCCACCAUCGUCGCUAUACAAUUCAGGCGUACACGUUUCAACUUUUGACUAUUUUAUAAAUUCAUUGUUUACACUCAAUGGAGCUUAUUAAUGGCAAUUAAUGGUGAGUUCAUUAACAUUUUUAAUUUUGAUUUGAUGAUGAAGUGCCCUAAUAGUCAAUGUCAAGGUCUCAAAAUAGAUAAAUGUAAUUUUUAUAUAUAAUGUAUUUAGUUCUUAUUUUAGCUAUAAUUGAGCAAAGAAAAUUCAUUGAUACAAAUAAAUUUCAUUGCCUAAUUAAGUUUGAUGUGGUAUGUUUGGCUGAUGAGUUGAUUGGCUAGAUUAAUAAUAAUAAUAAAAAAAAAAAUCCAAAAAACAAGUUUAAAAAAUGCACCAAAAAAUGGAACACCGCAAGUUAAGUAUCGGCGUCCACGACAUUUUACGCUUUAAUUCUAACAUGUAAGAUAUGAAGCAACGCCAUGCUUGAAAAGAAAUCUGAAAAAAGCCCCCGGACAUAUAAGAUAUGAAACUUGUCAAAAACAAUCAUAAUUUUAGAUUUAACCAUUGAAUUGUGCUCUAAUUUUAUUAGAUGAUUCUGUUUUCUGUUUUUUUUUUUAAAAGUAUCCUGUUUGUAAGCAAUGAUAUAUAUAAUGGAAGGAUUACUCCAAAAAAGUGACAUGAUGAAGCGUGUGUACCAUGAUUUAUGCGUACGUGUUGUUUGGUACGUAUGUUUUCUGCUUCUUCUUUUUUUAGUUUUAUUCUUCUUCUUUUUUUUGUGUUUUUUUCUUUAAUUAGAUUAGCAUUGGUUUAUUUAAUAAUCUAAUAGACUCAAGUGUUGUUUUUUUUUAAUUAUUUAUUUAUUUAAUGUUAUUGUUUUUUUAUAUAUUAUUUAAAUUAUUCCUUGAACGAAUGACUUGAAACUUGAAUUUUUAUUAACCUGUCAUUUUUUUAAAUAAAAAAAUUAAAUUGUUCAGCCUGGCAAAGCACGGAGAGCAUAUCUAUGAAACCAUUAUCUUCUUGUUCAUUAUUAGGCACCUGCUGCAAUUGCGAGUCUGUUUCACUGCAACUUCGCAACGGAGGUCUACAACGAAAAACAAGUGAAAGGGUUGUGUGUGACAGCUGGGUCCUAUAAGCUAGAAGGUUGGGAUAAAGAGCAUUUUAAUUGCUGUAACUGGGAUUAUAGGGUUGUGUGUGACAACACCACAAACCGAGUGAUCCAACUACAUCUUUCAGAUGUAAAUUAUGAUUAUCUCAAUGCAUUCCAAGACUUGGAUCUCAAUGCCUCUUUCGUCCAAUCAUCUCUUCAAAAUUAUAUUUUGAUCUUUAAACUUUAAUCUUUUUAAUUUAAAGUUUAAAUUGACUUUAAAAUUAAUUUUUUUAACAAUCAUACCCUUUAUAAAUUCAAUUAAACUUUCAAUAAAAUUUAAUUAAAUCCAUAAACAUUUGAUUUUGAAUUUUAUUUUUUAAAAUUAAAUUUUCUUUGUCAGCAGAGUUUUCAUCAGUAAAAAAAUAUACUGUCAAAUUUUAAUUUUUAUAUUUUUAAACCUCCUCAACUAAUUUUUAGCUAUUUUUUGAACACUUUGAUAUCCGCUUCUCACUGCUAUUAUUUUUUGUUUUCUUUCAAAUAUAUUUUUUUGUGAGAAAACCCAAAAAUAGAUAACAAGAAACUGAAUAAAAGAACAAACCCUAAUUAUUAUUAUAAUUAUUUUUUGUAUUAAUUGGAGCACAUUAUAUAUAUAUAUAUAAGAAAUUGUGAUUUUUUUAUCAAAUUUCUGAAUUUCUCCAAAAAUUUUAAAAUUUUAACCCAAGCUAAAACAUUAUAUUAGAAGGCUUCACGUAAAUUUUUAGAAUUUUUUGAUACCUCAAUUAAGAAUUACAAAUUUUCUUUAUAUAAAACUAAUAAAAAAAAUAUUAAUAAAAUCUUGAACUGAACUAGAACCUACCCUAGCUGAUACAUGCCUCCACCCUUGGGUGCAGUAAGAAGAAAUUAUUGAUAAUAGAAAUCAUUUUCUAAUCUCUUCUGCCAUGUAUUUCAUAAGAUCAAAUCAAUUGUUCAUAUACAGCACCUGACUUCCCAAAGUCUAUGAAGAAAAGUAAAGCAAUAAACAAGAAGUUGGAAUAUCCUUUAAUCCAACACCACAAACCGAGCGAUCUGUGCCGUGGUGCGGGCCCCCUGGCUAGCACUGUCCGUGAAGAUUCUCCCAUUCAAUGAAGCCCAAGUCUCCCUUGGAUAAUUAAUUCAGCAUAGAAAAUUCAAUGAUACAGAUAAUUGGGAAUCUUGACCGACUUCACAAGUCUGCCAAGAAAAAAAAAAAAAAUUGAAAGUGGAUGAUGAAGGUACUGGGAAAUCACUUCAUUCCAUGAAAAAAGUUAAGGAAGAAAUUUUUUGAUUCCACAUUAUUUCCAUGUCUAUAAGAGAAAGCAAAGUAGUUUACGCAAUAAAUUGGCGGAAUUGAUAUUAACAUAUCAAAAUAAUUUGACAACACUAAAAAUAUAUUAAUUUGGAGUUAAUAAAAAAUUAAAAAAAAAAAAUUUAUUUAAAAAUACUUUUAAAACACAAAAAUAAACAUCCAUGAAAACUUAAAUUAAAUGUUCAAACAAAUGACUUCCCAAGUCUAAGAAGAAAAAAGAAAGAAAGAAGCAAAGUAGCCUAAAGGAACACCCUGUUCCACAAGCUUGAAGAAAAAUAUUAAACUAAUGAAGAAAAGUAAAGCAGUAAACAAGAAGUUGGAAUUAAUAUCCUUUAAUCCAACACCACAAACCGAGCGAUCUGUGCCGUGAAGACUCUCCCAUUCAACGCAGCCCAAGUCUCCCUUGGAUAAUUAAUUCAGCAUAGAAAAUUCAAUGAUACAGAUAAUCGUCACUGUCCGAUCAAAUGCAUUAAUUAUGACGUGUAAACAAAUACAUUUAUGAACCAAAAUUGAAAAGAUUAAGCUUGAAAAGAAAUCCGUCACCACAUGGAUCUUUUCAAAUUAAGUCUAAACGAUUCUGUUUUUGUUAUUUUAAUUAUUUUUUUAGAUAAUUUUGUAUUUUAAUUUUUUUCCUCACUUAAUUGUAAAAUCUUUUAAUUAGAUCGGUUUUAAACUUUUAUUUCAACAAUUGGAGUCGGUUAGAGUUAGUUAACAAUAAAAUAAAUGGUAGGAGAAUUAUGUAAGAGUCACGCAAGAAAUAACAGAAUCAUUCUCCUCUCAUUUAUUUCUCUGUUUUCCUCCUGCUUCAUUUUGUUAAGCCAAGCUUAACAGAUGAUUAUAUUAUGAAGCUCGUAAUUGAUGGUUUUAUUUAUUUAUUUUUUGUAAGCCAUUGAUAAUGAUUUUUUUUUUCAUUUUUUCCUUUCUUCGAUCAAAUUCGUUUUGAUGAUGUGGAUUAUAGGAAUCUUGACUUCCCAAGUCUAUGAAGAAAAGCAAAGCAGUAAACAAGAAGUUGGAAUUGAUAUCCUUUAAUCCAACACCACAAACCGAGCGAUCUGUGCCGUGGUGCGGGCCCCUGGCUAGCACUGUCCGUGAAGACUCUCUCAUUCAAUGCAGCCCAAGUCUCCCUUGGAUAAUUCGGCAUAGCAAAUUCAAUGAUACAGAUAAUUGUCACCGUCCGAUCAAAUGCAUGAAGAGGACAAAAUUCUAUAUAAGAGACAGCUUUUGCUUGCUUUUGUAUUUUGUCAAGUAGGAGCGUUAAUAUGAAGACGAGGCAAAUGUGGGUGUGGAUGCUGCUCAUGGCACUGGCCUUCCUCAACGACCGGAGCCAUUGUUGUUUGGACGAAGAGAGAAUUAGUCUCUUAGAGAUAAAAGCUUGGUUCUAUCAUGCAGGUGCAGCUGUGUCCUAUCAGCUACAAGGUUGGGAUAAAGAGCAUUUUAAUUGCUGUAACUGGCAUAGGGUUGUGUGCGACAACACCACAAACCGAGUGAUCGAACUAGAUCUUUUUAAUGUAAAUUAUGACGGUCUCAAUGCAGUCGAAGACUUGUAUCUCAAUGCGUCUUUGUUUCUGCCUUUCAAAGAACUGGAGAUUCUCGACUUAAGAGACAACCAAUUAGUUGGUGGCUUAAAGAACCAAGGUUCUAUGCUUUCAAUUUUCUUUUAGAUAACACAUAAAGUUACUUUUAUUUCAAGUAACUUUACAUUGAAUCUUUAUGGAUAUUGGGAUGGUUGAUAUAUAAAUCUGUUAAUUGUCUUUGCUUCUGACAAUCUUCUUUCAGGUUUUCAAGUCCUAGCUUCAGGAUUGAGGAAUUUGAAAGAACUUUAUCUAACUUACAAUAAAUUGAACGACAGCAUUUUAUCAUCUUUCAGUGGUUUUUCAACUCUCAAAUCUCUAGAUCUAUCAGCCAAUAGGUUCACAGGAACAAUUGAUCUCAAAGGUAAAGUUAUAAAUCAUUCCUACCUCGCGUGACAUUCCUUAGUAUGCUUAAUUUAUUCUUUAGUAAACUUGUCUAAUAAUAGAAAAAAAUUACGCACGUAAGAAAUAACAGAAUCAUUCCUUUGUUUUCCUUCUGCUUAACAGAUGAUUAUAUUACAAUACACAAAAUGGAUACUUCCACUUUAUAUGUCAUAUGUUAGAAUUCAUGAAUAUUUGGUUAUUAAAAUAUUGAUAUAAUGUCAAAAAAUUAACACAAAAAUUUAUAUUUCAUUGAAUUUAUAUGGAUAUUGGGAUGGUUGAUAUAUAUAUAUAUAUAUAUAUAUAUAUAUAUAUAUAUAUAUAUAUAUAUAUGCUAAUUUCUUUGCUUCUGACAAUUUUCUUUCAGGUUUUCAAGUGCUAGUCUCAGGGUUGAGGCAAUUAGAGGAACUUGAUUUAAGUUACAAUAAAUUUGACGAUAGCAUUCUAUCAUCUCUUAGUGGAUUUUCAACUCUCAAAUCUUUAAAUCUAUCAGGCAACACGUUCACAGGAUCAACUGGUCUCAAUGGUAAACUUAUAAAUCAUUCCUACUUUGGAUGCCAUUCCCUCGUGAGAUUUAAUAAUUACAUGUGUAUUAACCCUUAAGUAAUUUUUUGGAUGAAGCCUUAAAAAGGCUUUAUAUAAUUAAUUCUUUAACGAGUGAAAUAAUUUGAAACUUACAUAUACAUGCUAUUAAUUUUUGUUCAAUUUCUUAAUUUAUUUUUAAAUAAAUGAAGGUGAAUAUUUAAUUAACAAAAUUUUAAUAUCAUAUUAAAAAUUAUUUUAAUUUUAAAACUUAAGCUAUGUAUAUUAACUCUAACAUUAUAAAUUAUUUAAAUAUUGUAAAUAAUUAUUAUUGAUUGUUCUCUCUAUCACAGGUUUAAGGAGAUUAGAAACCUUGUAUCUGGAUUCAACUGACUUCAAGGAAAGCGUUUUGAUAGAGUCAUUGGGAGCGUUGUCAUCCCUCAAGACCUUAUAUGCCAGUGGUAGUAAGUUUACACACUUUAGGAAAGGUCAGUGACAGUUUUGAUGCCUAAAACAAUGUGAUAUUUAUAAUAUAUUGAUGGAUUUAUUUGAUCUGUUCCACAGGGUUGUGGAAUUCGACUAGCCUUGAAAAAGUGUCCCUCGGUUAUUCUUCUCUCCCAGCAAGCUUUCUUAGGAACAUUGGACCCUUGUCUACUCUUAAAGUCUUGUCCUUGAACGGAGUUGACUUCAAUAGCACCCUACCUGCCCAAGGUAAUUAAAAUCUAAUCUUUAUACAAAUCCAUGGAAGAACAAUUAAAGAACCUCCUUCAAUUCAAAUAACAUUGUUCAUUAAUAUUUGUGUUAUAGAAAAGGAUAAAAUCUAGAGUUUUUCAAUCUUAAAUUAUAGAAAAAACUUUGAGUAAAAAAAGUUAUGAAUAUCAAUAAUCUAGAUAAUUAAUCUCUAAAAAAACUAACAAACAAAGUUGUUUAAAUAAAAUCUAAAACCGACAUAGCUAAUGAAACAAAAAUCAACUAAAACUUUAAAACCUCACUAAGCAAUUACAUAAUUCAUAUAUUCAUAUUCCCUUAACAUGAACAUAUGAAUAUAUUCUCCAGGUUGGUGUGAACUGAAGAAUCUUGAACAUCUAUUUCUCUCGGGAAACAAUCUAAAGGGCGUACUCCCUCCUUGUUUUGGAAAUCUAUCAUUUCUACAAUUCUUGGAUUUAUCUGACAAUCAAUUGGAGGGAAAUAUUGCUUUUAGUCACCUUUCCCAUCUUACGCAGCUCAGAUACCUCAAAGUUUCAAAUAACUACUUUCAAGUUCCAAUAUCAUUUGGUUCAUUUAUGAACCUCUCCAGCCUCAAGUUCAUUGAAUGCGAUAACAAUGAGCUAAUAGCUGCACCUAGUUUUCAGCCUUCAGCUCCCAAGUUCCAGCUUCUUUUCUUUAGUGCUUCAAAUUGUACUCCAAAACCACUCGAGGCUGGAUUUCCAAACUUCCUCCAUAGCCAACAUGAUUUGGAGUUUGUUGAUCUAUCCCACAACAAGUUCGUUGGAGAACCUUUCCCAUAUUGGCUGUUUGAGAAUAAUACAAAGUUAAAUCGACUAUAUUUGAGAGACACCUCAAUUACAGGUCCUUUGCAGCUGCCACAACAUCCAACACCCAACCUUCACACAGUAGAUAUUUCUGGCAACACCAUACAUGGUCAAAUUGCAAGGAACAUAUGUUUGAUUUUUCCACGUUUGAACAACUUCAUGAUGGCUAACAACAGCCUCACAGGUUGUAUUCCUCCUUGUUUUGUUUUGGGAAUAUGAGCUCUCUCAGAUACUUGGAUCUUUCCAACAAUCAUAUGUCUUGUGAACUGCUUGAGCAUAAUUUGCCAACAAAGGGCUCCUUGUGGUUUUUGAAGCUGUCCAAUAACAACUUCAAUGGGCGAUUACCACCAUCUGCGAUCAACAUUACUUACCUAUUUUACCUCUUUCUAGAUGGAAACAAAUUUACAGGACAAGUAUCUGAUACCUUUUCUCUUGCAUCACUUUUGUGGUUUGAUAUCAGUAACAAUCUUUUGUCAGGCAUGCUUCCAAGGGGAAUGGGGAACUCUUCAAAAUACCAUCUUAAGGGAAUUGAUUUGUCCAGAAAUCAUUUUGAAGGUACCAUUCCAAAAGAAUAUUUCAAUUCUUAUAUGCUUGAAUUUUUAGAUCUUUCUGAAAACAAUCUGUCUGGGUCAUUGCCGUUGGGCUUCAAUGCAUCAUGGUUACGCUAUGUCCACCUUUACAGAAAUCAAUUGAGCGGUCCAUUGCCAUAUGACUUUUAUAAUCUCUCUUCGUUGGUGACAUUAGAUCUCGACGAUAACAACUUAACUGGGCCCAUUCCAAAUUGGAUUGAUAGCCUUUCUGAAUUGAGCAUUUUUGUUCUCAAAUCUAAUCAAUUCAAUGGGAAACUUCCUCAUCAGUUAUGCUUGUUAAGGAAAUUAAGCAUAUUGGAUCUUUCAGAAAAUAAUUUUUCUGGUCUGUUACCCUCAUGUUUGAGCAAUUUAAAUUUUACGGCAUCGGAUGAAAAAACUUUGGAUCCCCCUCGUACGGGGAUACUAAAUGGUGGAAUAAUCCGGGAAGAAAUAUUUGCAUCCAUAGGGGGAAGAGAAUUGGAAAACGAAGGUUUUUAUCCUGAUGACGAAGUUUUGUGGCCAGAGUUCAGUGUAAAAAUAGCUGUAGAGCUUACAUCAAAGAAAAAUUUCUACACUUACGAAGGCGAUAUCCUUCGUUACAUAUCUGUUAUGGAUCUUUCUUGUAACAGAUUCACUGGAGAAAUCCCGACAGAAUGGGGAAACUUAAGUGGGAUAUAUGCUCUAAAUCUGUCACAAAAUAAUCUCACUGGAUUGAUCCCUCCAUCUUUCUCCAAUCUGAAGCAGAUAGAGAGCUUGGAUCUUUCACACAACAACUUGAAUGGGAGAAUUCCUGCACAACUCGUUGAACUGAACUUUCUAGCAGUUUUCAACGUGUCGUACAAUAAUUUGUCAGGAAGAGCACCGGAGAGGAAAUAUCAAUUUGCUACCUUUGAUGAGAGCAGUUAUAAAGGGAAUCCUCUUCUUUGUGGACCUCCAUUGCAUGACAGUUGCGACAAAACAGAAUCACCAUCAGCAAGAGUGCCUAACGAUUCCAACGGAGAUGAUGGAUUAAUAGACAUGGACAGUUUCUAUGUCAGCUUUGGUGUGUUUUACAUAAUUGUGGUGUUGACAAUUGCAACAGUACUGUGCAUAAAUCCGCAUUGGCGACGCAGGUGGUUUUACUUCAUUGAAGAAUGCAGUGACACUUGCUAUUGCUUUUUGGCUAUAAACUUUCCCAAGUUGUCCAAAUUCAGAAGGUGAUUGGAUCUUAUCAGGAGCGUGUGGGUUGCUUUCUGAAUUUGUUGUACUCCUCUGUGGAGAAGCAGUCGUAUUCCAAAUCAAUGGUUUCUCACUGCAUGUUUAGCAAUUUGCCUGUGAGAAGUGAUAUGUGAAAGUGUUCUUGCUUAGCCUUUCUGUUUUGAUGUGACUUGUGUUUGUCCUUGUGCUUGUAUCCAUAUUUGUUUGUUUAUUUGUUAUGUCUUAAUUAUGUUGAGGAACCAACCAAUAUUUCUUGGCUUCUUGUGAUUUCUAUAGCUAUUUAAGCCUUACUUGUGGGCUAUUUUAAAUAUCAAGAGUUUAUUUCAGAUUUUUCUCUCCUGUUGGGUCUCUUUCAAGCCCAUUUUGCACUUAAUUUUGAAUUCUUUUAAUUAAAUCGGUUGUAAACUUUUAAAUCAACAAUUGGAGUAUUGUUUUAAGAUUAGAUUAUUUAAUUGUAAUUUUUCUGAAAAAUACGAGAGUUUUUUUUUCUUUAUUCCUCUAUAAUUUCAAGGCUAUAAGAGAACCUUAAUUCAUUCACGCCUCAUGAAAUUCAAUUUGGACAGUGGUGGUAUAAGGAAACGAAAAGGUUGUUAUAAAAAUUAAGAAUUUUGAAUGUUUCAUUUUAAAAUGGUUACUACUUUUUAAUUUCAGAUUGUUGAAUCUUCUGUUUGCUUCAAGCUUGAUGAUACAUGUCGAACGUCAAAAAUCCGCGCGGCGAUUUUCGCUUCGGUGAUUUUUCUUUUUCGUUCCUUUCGCUUUCGCUUGAUUUAGAGUCUUAAGAGUCGCCACCUAGUAUUUAUUGAGGGUUACUAAGAAACUCAAAUUUACUGGUCAUGGUCAAAGAUUCAAGGGUAAAGAACUGAUUGUGACUAGAAAAGGUAUUAGCAUCCCUAGCACACCCUACCUGAGAUAAACUGCUUUUGCAAUUUGAUACGGUUUGAAAAUUUAAAAUAUUAAUCAAAUUCUUAAGGCUUUAAUAAAUCAGUUAUUAAAUCUCAUUAUAUAUGUAAAAACUUAUUAUUAUAUUUUCAUAAAAAAUACAACUUGAUUUUAUUUGUGCUUUGAGAUAUUUAACCAUAUUCAAAUUAAACCAUAAAUUUUUGUCUUUUUGAUUUUUAUAAUUUAAUAACAUAAAUAAAUAAAAAUACAAAACACCCACUUCCACGUCACCUUUUACUAUGUUUUUCUGUUACAAUUUUUUACAACAUAACAUAAACUAAAAACAUUUAACAGCCAUUUUAAAUACAUAUAUUCAAACAUGUAAAAAUUACAAAAAAGGUCCCUAAAGAGCCCAGGAACUGCAGAGGAGGCCCUCAGGAACUGUGGAAGCAGUGCGGCGCGUCUGAUUCACGCGCUGCCGCGAAAAGACCGGCAGCAGGGGAGAUCCGAAACGGCUUCCUCCCCUCUUAAUUUUCCUCGCCGGCGGCGACCACGCUGUCACCUGCAAAACACCAAAACGCAACAAACAGUGAUUUUAGUUUUUCUUUUUCUUUUUCAGAUCUGUCUCGGUCUUCCUUCUUCCUCUUGAUUUUCUGCUCUUCCCUUCUUCUGGGUUCAGCGCCGCCGUUGCGUGUUGCCAUCUCUAUGGUUGAAGAUCGGAGAAGAAGCUGUCGUGGCCGGUGGCGCGUCAGCACACGUGACGAUGACACUCGGGGGGAAUCAACUCAAAGGACUGACCGCCGCUGCUGGCUGAGAUAGCGGUUCAGUGGCUGAUCUGCAGGCCGUCCAUGGCCACUGCCGUGCGUGGGGGCGGAGCUGCUACGGGGAGAAGAUUAGUGGCUGCUCUGGUUUGGGAGCAGAAGCUCCCGAUUCAAAACCUCAAGGCCAGGGGUUUCUCUUAAAUUUUUGUGAGAGAUUGGAAAUGGUGGCUCUUAUUCUGUGAGCUGGAGGAUGACAGAUCGGUGAAGACAGGGAAAGCUGGUUUGGGUAGUCCGUGGUUGGCUGGGGGAUCGGCUAUGGCUUUCUUUUUUCAAGGCUGAGGGCCGCCUGGCUUUUAUUGGCUGGGAGUUGGGUUUCCUUCGAGGGGCGGCUGCCUGUUGGCUGAGAGUGAGAGGGUUUUCAGCCGGGGAAAAUGGGGAGAGUGGACAGAGAAGGGAAAGGAAACCACCGUUGGAGGGGCGGCGGCGGCACUGCUCUUCAAAGGCCAGGGGUGGUUGAGUGUGAGAGGGUGAGGUUUUAGGGUAUUUUUCUUUUCUUUUUCCCGGGUCCCCCUGAAUAAAAAUUCUCCCCUCUCCCUCGUGAGUCAAUUUUUUUCCCGUCUCAAUUUCUCCCCCUUUUCUUAUUUGGACCAUUGUUUAGGUUUUCAAAAUAGUCUCCCAAUUUUUCUUUUCUUUUCUUUUCUUUUCUUAUUUUUUUUUGUAAAUUUUAAUUUUUUUUAUUUUUUUUUUGUAUUUUUAAAAGCGGGCAAUAUCAACGUCGACUCAACAAGAAAAAAUUAGUGAUUGGAAAAUUUACGCGUUAAAAGUUGAACGCGUUCAAAACUCUUAAAAAUUUAAAUUUUUUUGAGAUGACGUUGAAAAUGCUAAAAACAAUGCAAAUACAUCAAAAAUAUAUUUUUUAGGUUUUUUUUUUUUUGCUAUUUUUUAUUUUUUUGAAAAUUUAUAAAAAAAUAUAGGUCAAAAAUUGGAUAGCAACAAUAUAAAUUACUUGUUCCAAUCUUAUACUUGGCUCCUCCAAGCCUGAGAGGGAAUGUAAAGAUAUCAAAGGCUCUAGUCCUGCCACAUGUCAAAAGAUUAGAGAAUAAAAUGGUUAGAAUGUUGAUAGUAACUCUUAGUCUUAUUUGUCAGUUAAAAGAAUCAGUUAAUAUUAUUUAGUGAAGAAUAGAUAACAUGAAUAAGCUUCCUACUGUAGCAAUAUAUAAACCAAGCUGUUGAGAGUAUUGAAUUUAGAUCGAGCUCCCCUUUUCCAACUUCCUACCUGAAUUGGUUGAAAUGAUUCAUUUGAGAUACUUAAUUAAGUUUGAGAUGGAUCAUGAUAAGUGACCAUCCAGAGUCCAUAAGGAACCUCAAGUACUUGAAAAUACUUGAUUUGAAAGGGAGUCUUGAAUCUUCUUUGCCUGCUAGGAUCACACAAUUGACAUGUCUUUGCCAGCUCCGUAACUAUUAACACAGUUUCCAGUCAUCAUCGUUCUUCCCAAACUCUCAUGGAAUGAGAAUUCCAAUAGGAAUAGGAAGAUUGACGAGCCUACAAAAAUUAGGAAGCGUUGAAGUGAAUGAAGAUUAUGAGUUAGUUAGGGAGGUGAGAAAGCUAACUUAGUUGAGAAGGGAAUGGAUCUCUGUUAUACUUUGUGUUGCUUCUCAUUUUUUUUAUCCUCACACAAAAAAGAAAAAAAAGUGAAGAAAUAAAAAAAAAACAUCAAAAGAAAACAAAAAUAUAUAAAAGUAAAACAACGAUAUAGGGAAGCUCAAAAAAUGAUCAAAGAUUAGUUAUGGAAGUUCAAAAAUAUAAAAAUUGAAAUUGAACAAUAUGUUUUCAAUUCAAUUGAAGGAAGAAAAGUUUAAAAUCAAAUGUUUAAAGACUCAAUUAGAUUUUGUUGAAAGAUUAAUUGAGUUUAUGAAGGGUUAAAUUGCAAAAAAAAAUUGAUUUUUAAGUCAAUGUUUCCUUCAAUUUGAAGAAAUUAAAAUAUGGGGGUCGUAUUACAAUUUUUAAGAGUUAGUUUGGUCAAAUCAAGGGCUUAAUUGCAUAAACAUUGAAACUUGAUGGCACUUAGGGACUUGAUUAAAGAAAACCAAAACUAAGGACCAAACUAGAAAAGACACAUAAAUAUAAGGGAUGGAAUUAACCAAAUCAAGGGAUAAAUUGAAGAAAUUGAAAAUUUGUUGAUCAAUUAAGGGUCAAAAUACACUAAUUCAAAACCAAUAACCAAAGUGAAAAGAGCAGUCAACUUCAGGGCUAGCUUUUGAAUUUGACAAGGAUGUAAUUGAAUUGAUUCUUAAAAUUAAAAUCUCAACUGAGGGCUUGAUUAAAUAAAUUGAAAAUUAAGGACUGAUUUGGAAACAAAAGCUUUCUAGCGCUAUUUUUUUUUAAAUGAAACAACGAGUUUCGUUCAAAACAAUGUCGCUUCAUUCAUUAUUCACAUUAAAAAAAAUAGAGAGAAAACAGUGUCAUUUUGUACGUAUAUCUUCUCCCCUUCCCAUGGACACACUACAAGCAAGGGAAGAAGAAGAUUGUUCCCUCACUUCCCUUGCAGCGCCACUCUCCCUCUCUCCUAAAAACCAACAAGACCCACUACCCCUGGCUAGCACUGUCCGUGAAGACUCUCUCAUUCAAUGAAGCCCAAGUCUCCCUUGGAUAAUUAAUUCAGCAUAGAAAAUUCAAUGAUACAGAUAAUUGUCACUGUCCGAUCAAAUUAACGCGUGAAGAGGACAAAAUAGUAUAUAAGAGACAGCUUGCUUGCUUUUGUAUGUGGUCAAGUGGAGCGUUAUGAAGAUGAGGCAACUGUGGGUGUGGAUGCUGCUCAUGGCACUGUCCUUCCUCAACGAGCGGUGCCAUUGUUGUUUAGAAGAAGAGAGAAUUAGUCUCUUAGAGAUAAAAGCUUGGUUCUAUCAUGCACGUGCAGCUGGGUCCUAUGAUCAGCUAGGAGGUUGGGAUAAAGAGCAAUAUUUUGAUUGCUGUAACUGGCAUAGGGUUGUGUGUGACAACACCACAAACCGAGUGAUCGAACUACAACUUUCAGGUGUAAAUUAUGAUGGUUUCAAUGCAGUCGAAGUCGACUUGGAUCUCAAUGCGUCUUUGUUUCUGCCUUUCAAAGAACUGGAGAUUCUCGACUUAAGCGCCAACCAAUUAGUUGGUGGCUUAAAGAACCAAGGUUCUAUGCUUUCAAAUUAUGAUGGUUCUCACACACACACAUAUAUAUAUCUGGUAAUUGUCUUUGCUUCCGACAAUUUUCUUUCAGGUUUUCAAGUGCUACCUUCUGGGUUGAGGAAUUUGGAAGAACUUGAUCUAAGGGACAAUAAAUUUAACGACAACAUUUUAUUAUUUUUUAGUGGAUUUUCAACUCUCAAAUCUCUAGAUCUAUCAGGCAAUAUAUUCACAGGAUCAACUGAUCUCAAUGGUAAAGUUGUAAAUCAUUCCUACCUCUAAUGGCAUUCCUUAAUGAAGCUUAAUUUAUUCUUUAGUGAAUUUGUUUAAUAAAUAGAUGUGUAUUAACCAUUAACUUUUGUUCAAUUUUUAAAAUUUUAUUAAAGGAAUGGAGGUGAUAUGUUAGAAUUCAUGAACAUUUGGUUAUUAAAAUAUUGAUAUAAUGUUAAAAAAUUAACACAUAAAUUUAUAUUUCAUUGAAUUUAUAUGGAUUGGGAUGGUUGAUAUAUAUAUAUAUGUUAAUUUUUUUGCUUUUGACAAUUUUCUUUCAGGUUUUCAAGUGCUAGCUUCAGGGUUGAGGAAUUUGGAGGAACUUGAUCUCAGAAACAAUAAAUUUAUCGACAACAUUUUAUUAUCUCUCAGUGGUUUUUCAUCUCUCAAAUCUCUAGAUCUAUCAAACAAUAACUUCACAGGAUCAAUUGGUCUCAAUGGUAAAGUUGUAAAUCAUUCCUAUCUCGAAUGGCAUUUUUUCUCGUGUAUUAACUCUUAAGUUGUUGCCUUAAAAAGGCUUUAUAUAAUUAAUUCUUUAAUGCAUUUUUUAAGUGAAAUAAUUCUGCGUUUGAAACUUAUGUAUGCUACUAAUUUUUCUUAAAGUUGUAAAUCGUUACUACUAAUGUUGGUUGAAUUUUUUAAUUUUUUGAAAAUAAAUGAAGGUGAUACGAGUAUUAAUUAUUAAAAUUUUAAUAUUAUAUUAAAAAUUAUUUUAAUUUAAAAACUUAAGCUAUGUCUUGUAACAUUAUAAAUUAUUUAAUUAUUAGUGAUGGUUCUCUCUGUCACAGGUUUAAGGAAUUUAGAAAUCUUGUAUCUGUAUUCAAAUGACUUCAAGGACAGCGUUUUGAUAGUCAUUGGGAGCGUUGCCAUCCCUCAAGACCUUAGAUGCACGUUUUAGUAAUUUUAUACACUUUGGGAAAGGUCAGUGACAAUUUAAUUUGGUGCCUAAACCAAUAUGAUAUUUUAUAAUAUAUUGAUGGAUUUAUCUGAUCUGUGCCACAGGUUUGUGGAAUUCGAAGUGACAGUGUUUUCUUGAUCAUAUCCAGACUCAUUUGCAGGUGGUUUAUUUUUAAUUCAGCAUGUGCCCAGGACCCUUCAAUCCAUUGAGCCUUCCUCUCUUGCAACUUGUUCCUUGUAGCCAGUUGCAACUUCAAAAGAUUAUUAAGACGCAUAUCCAUCUGCCGUUUAAGUUUUUCGAACUCUUUUGCAUAUACAUUAUCCAGCAUCUUAAUAGGGUGUUUAGGAGUGUGGUAACUGUUGCUUUUCAAAUAGCUUUUCAUGCCGAAAAGUAUGUCAAUAAUAAUUUUUUUAUUUUUUAAAAAUUAUUUUUUAUAUCAACACAUCAAAACGAUCCAGAAAGUACAAACCAAACUCAAUUUUAGCAAAUAAAAAUAAAAUUGAAAUUGUACAAAAAACAGGUUGCACCGCAGUGCCAAACGGGCACUAAGUUUAUCCACUUAACUAUUACUGUGUAAACGAAUAACAGCUGCCUCUGUUCUUUGCUUAUGUUCGAGCUCCACCUUGUCUUGCUCAUACUUCUUUUCAAACUCUUCCCUUUCUUCUUGUUGCCUAUGCAAUAACUUCCUCAUCUGUUUAUCACAUUUCUUUUCAAUGUCUUUGAUACUUUUUGAGUAAUCUUUUUGUGCCAAUUCCAGAUGAGAAAGGACCUGAUCGAUGGAGAACUCCUGACCAGAUCUGAGGUUUUCAACCUCCAUUCUCACUUUUUGCAUGUUAGAUGGUGUUGACAGUGAAGAUCUUCCAUUUGACUGAUUAUGACUGAAAUCUUCUAAUGAAAAACCUGAAGCUUUUGGAGAGCCAGCUACCUUACAAGUCCCAGUGCGAUAAAGAAAUACUUUCCUCAGACAUCGCAACUUUGAGUAAACAAAAUCUGCCUCGUCUUUCUUGCAGCUGAAAUUCAAAUGCUCUUUUGCAAGUGCAAGUGAUUCUUUGUGAUCAAGUUUGUGCUUUAGCAUGGAAGCUGCAGUCCAACACUGCAAUAUGAACAGCACAAAGUAAAGCAGGCCGUCAGCAAAAGGUAUCAAACAUUUAUGUGAUCACUCACCAGCACAGUUCACAAGGAAGGAAAAAAGAAGGCAUGCUCAGUAAUUAUCACAGAUAUAGAAAAUGCAGAAGCACCAAAAAGCAAGGGAUGAACAGAAACAAGGAGAGAGAGAGACAGACCGCUGAAGUCAAGAAUGUCAACACCAAAUUUCUUAAAUCCAAUUAGUAUGAAAAACAAAAGGAGAAUAAUUCAUUGACACUGUAGUUUCCAUCCUAUGAUAAAGAUCUUACAAGUAGAGGGCAAACCAACCUGUUUUAGUUUGCUUUAGGCACUUUCCCAUUAAAUUAUUUUCUUUCCUAGAUAAAUAGAUAGGACCUAAGAAACAAGAAUCAUAUCUUCCAAGUGUGAUUAGAAUUUCACAUUUCUAAUCGACUUAUUUCAUGUUUACAAUUCUUUUUUAUCCAGGUCUUCUUACUAUUCUUAAAUAGAGGAUGUAGUAGAAUAUGAAAGAUUUUUUUCAUCUUCAAAAUAAUCAGAUAUGAUUAAUUCCAACCUCAAUUCAGAUAAAAAGCCCACUCCAUAAUCCUUCAUUACACUGAAACAAUCACCUUAUUCACAAGGAGUAAAUAAUGCAUUCAACAAAAAGCAUACUAGAAUGUUUGAUAUAGGUAUUUUUAAAAAAUACCUCCCUUCAAUUUCCUCAAUAUGUCAGGUCAUAUUUUUGGCUGCAAAUCUUGUAUCCCUAGCGAUUCCUCCUCUUUUUAAUUCCUAUGUACUAUCGCUUUAGAUCGAAGGUGUAAAAUGACCCCAACAGAGGAUACAAAAGCUUGAACUCUGCUUGUUAGUUUUCGAAACUUGGUCAUUUUACACUUCUUAAAACAACCAGUCGCAUUGCAAAAAUAGGAAUUAACAAUUUAGAAAAGGUAGAUAACAUGUCAUGCAUUUAGAGAUCUGUCAGAUUCAAAACCAACCAGUAAGAUAUUAAAGCUAUUGCAAAUGCAAUGAACAUUUCAAAAUAUCCUCAAAUUCAACAACCAUGAUCCAAAAUGACAUGACAUCGUAAAGCAUCGUUUUACAGUAGUGACUGACUUAUUAUGUUUUAAUCAGAGGGUGUAAGAGUUGUGUCACAAGGAAAUUAAUGAUCAAACAGCAGGAAAUAUAGAAAAAAGAAGGUUCUAACCAAGGAUAUCAGAAAUGCCUGCAAUAAGCUAGGUGGUUCUCUACUGACAUGGUGAUUAUUCAGUACAUAUUCCCGAAACUGUUCCACCAUGACUUUGACAUUUUCCUGAAGGGAUAGUGAAACAUGUCAACAUAACGACAUCAUCAAAGAAAUACUGCUGCAUAAUCUUGAGAUCAAUUAUGAAAAUAACGAUGUUUCCUGAUACAUGACCCAGCAACUUCCAGCAAAUUCAUAAGUCCAGAGUAAACAUGUUAAUAAAGUAAAAGAACCCAUCACAGCAGUAAGCAUAUCAUUUCCCUCACUUUUAAUAGAGUGAAGAUAGAAUUUGGUUAAUUGAGUCCUGGCAAUGUAAGCAAACUAAGACCAGAGAGGGUUUUCUUCUAUUUUUUAAGUUUUCCUUUUUCCUUUUAUAUUGUUACUCAGUGACACACUAGAGGAGACGGAAAAAAUAGCAGAUCAUCAUUGUCAGAAUGCUAAGAAACAUAAAAUAUCAAACAAAUCUUCCUAUUUCAAUGGAUGACAAGGGAGAGGAUUUGUGAUUACAUUGAGAGAACAAGAAAUUAACAAAUAAAAAUAAAAUUCAAAAGCAACAUUUGAUGGUGAUGAUAUUCCAUUUCAAAUAGGAAUUGAGUGAAAUUGAAAUUCAAUAGUGCCCAAAAAUGCAAUGCUCUCUAGGCCAAGAAAUUCUUAGUAUCUUUAUCUCAUUAAGAUCUAAAACAGUUAUUUCAAUCCAAUGCCAACAGUAGGGAUCAUUGCAAGGUUGAUGGCUUGAAUGCACAAAAAGUAGGGUAUUUACCAGAUUUUUUCUUCUUUAUUUCUAUGCUUAAAAUCAAUUCUGAAACCAAUUCAAAGUACUAAGAAUAGCAGUAGAUAGGCAGACCCAAUACACCACAUCAAAGAACCUACUGCAGCAUUCAUGAACAAGUGCUAGAGAAAUUAACUUCAGAGGGAUGAGAUGCAUACUGGGAGUUGCAAAAUUUCACAAAGUUUUGCUAUCUCAGGCUUCAAAAAAAGAUGGAGACUCUUCUCAGAAUCAUCAUGCAAGUUCCUUCCUCCAUCAUACCCAACCAUGUCGGCUUUCAGUACUUGUGAUAAUUUACUAGUCAAAUGUGAGAAGUUGGAAACGUGAUUCACAUCAGUUGUGUUAAGAAGGCCAAUUGAACUUGGCAUGACUUGAGAAAUCUUAUGCACUGGAGCUCCAGAAGUUCCUGCAGAAAAAGAGACAUUUUAUGAAGAUUAAUUAAAAAAAUCAAGGAAAUCCCACAAUGUUUGCCACCUAAUACUCUGAGAAGAGUACCAUCUGUGCAUACAGGAUAAGGAACAAAACCAGAACAAUUAAUCAACAGUGAAACUAGCCAGUUACCUAUUAAAGCAGCUUUCAGAGAAGGCGAAUCAGUGUUAUUGUUGGACACUUUAUUGCGCUUCUUUAACCUUUGCCUUUCGGAACAUGAAUCCACAGAAUCAGUUCUGCCGCGCUCAUAUGGAGCUGCAUCGCCAUCUUCAUUUGAAACCAUUUCCGUAGCAUCAAAAUUCAAGUCGUCAAUACUUCUUUUUUGUUUAGAAGACAUCACUUUGCAACCACUCUUCACCUCAGUAUCAACCCCAGGUGUCCUAUUUACUAUCAGAUCUUGGCUACCUUCCAGUUUAGCUUUCUUUUGUUUCUGUUUGAACUGUUCCCUGUAAGCACGAGCAUCCAUUCUCUUAAUUCCAACCAGGACAGUUUUGAUAACAGGUUUGUCACUGUUUCCAACUUCUUGAGUUUCAAGUUGUUUAACACUCUUCUCUUUCUUGUGCUUUUCCUUCAUAAUUAAAGAGCCGGAGCUUUUACCACACUUUGUUGAACCAGAAGAACUAGAUGACGACUGAUUCUUACCCUUCUCAGGCCUUCUAGAAGGAGUCGGUAAACUUUGUUUCUCGACCAAUCUCUCAGAUUUCCUCGUAACAGGAGGAAUUGUGGGGGGGGUCUGCUUCUCAAUACGUUCAGACUUUCUACUACUUGAAGGGCUUGGAGUCAAGUUUUUCUUCAAUGAUGUUUCUCUAGCUGACUUUCUUAGACCACAAGUAUCAUUAGCAGCACCCAAACUGCUUGAUGAUCUGUUACCAAUGUUUCUCCCUUUUAUAUCAUUACUUUCCUCAUCCUUACCUUUACGACUAACCUUGGUAUCAUUUCCCAUCCUGCAAGCUGUAAACCACAAACAACAACAACAACAUGAGAUUCCAUUAAAUAAACCAGGUCAGGCUUAACAUUGAUGUUUCACAAGCAAUUGACCAAACUAAACCCAAGUAUCCCUAUAUUGGCAAACCAAUCCCCCACUCUUCCACUUACAUUCAACCCCAUAAAAAAAUUACUAUAUUUGAAGCAAUCUUACAAAAACUUAGACUGGAUAUUCUUGGAAAUUAUGAACAACAUUCUCAUAAAGAAAAAAAAAAGUAUUCAUUAUUAGAAUUUCCAAGUACAAUAUUCUCAUAAAAGAAACAAAAAUUGCCAAAAAACUUAAUUCUUAGAAUUUCCAAGCAAAACGUUCUCAAAAAGAAAGAAUAAUAGCAAAAACAAUGAAAGGCUUAGAAGACAUCAACAAUGUACAAUCAAGGCUGCAUGUUCAUUUCAAUCACUGCAAUGCCAUUCACAAUCACCGAACCGCAAGAACCUAACGAAAAAAUCAACAGAAACUACACCAAAAUUACGCUAAACAAAACCCUAAGUCACUGAAAAAAUUAUUUUUUUCUUUUUCAAUUUCAGAUUAAAAACCCUAUCAGAAGGAGGGGGGGGAGGGGUGGAUGAGAUUGGAGUUCUAACUUACCGGAGAGAGAAUAGUUGGGAGGUCACCGGAUUUAGUCUUCCGACGGCAUUUGACUGCCGGAGUCUUUAAUUGCCGAGUAGAAAUGAGUAAAGAGUUGAUAAAACUUUACCAAUGAACAGGCCCGCAGGGAAGGGGUUAAUGAUCAAUGUCAUGCUUUGUACCUGCCCAGUUGGGAGGUUACUUAUAUGUUAAUCUUUAGUCCUACCACUUUACUUGUAUUCAAUUUAGUCCAACACUACAAGGAUUGGAUUCAGACUUGGUAGCUAUCAUUUUUUUUAAAACCCGACAUUACUUAAUGAGUUAACCUCUAAACUAAUCCGGAUUUUAAUUUUAAUAAACCCAGUAAAAACCUUUAACUUUUUUAAAAAUAAAUAAUAAUAAUAUUUUUACUUUUUAUAAAAUAAAAAUAAAUUAAUUAAUCAGGUUAAUUCUAGUUAACAACACUAUGGCCAUAAACUUGUUGCGAGACAACCCCAAACCUUUGAUAUGGGAGGGCAACCCAACAAAUAAACAUUGAUAGAAAUUAGCUUAUCAACUCCCGAAAUAGUAAUAUAAAAAUCCAUAUUUAAAAUCUGAUUUAGAAACUUGAUAAUCAUGGAUUGAAUUCAUGUUAUCAUAUGUGAAAAGCUUAAACUGAAAAACAAAAAAUGAAUUUGUUUUAAUAAUUUUUUCUCAAUAGUCGAAGUUUUUAUUGUUGACAACUGUCAAUCACAAAUAGAGAAAUAAUUCGUCAUAAUUGAGGGCACAAUAUGUGUAAUUGUUUUUUUUUCAAGUUUUUGUGGUUGUAUUUUUUUAAAAAUAAGUUUUUAAAAAAUAUGAUUAGAUAUUGUUAGUUGGAUUUAGAUACGUGUUUGAUAAAAAUUAUAGUUGAGAUUUAUGUAUAGCAAAAAACAUAUAUAAAAUGUUUGGUUGUGAUUGUUUUUCAAAAGUGUUUUUUCUUGGAAAUGCAUUAAAAUAAUUUAAAAAAUAUAUAUAUUUUUGAUAUUAGCGCAUCAAAAUAAUUUAAAAAUAUAAAAAAAUAAUAAUUUAAGGUAAAGAAAAAAAUAAAAAAAAUUUAAAUUUUGAAAAAAGUGCUUUUGAAACGCAAAAAUAAAUAGAAUUUCAUGAAAUUUAGUUAAAAAAACAUGUAAAAACUGCUUCACAAAAGCUGCGUUUCAAACUCAAUUUUUUAGUGGGCUCCACAGUAUAAAAUGUAACUUAGUGUAUAAUCAAAUACCUAACUGUGUUUUUUAUACCGCAAAUACAAAAGUUACGACUAAAGAAAUGCACCUUAACUACAAUGAUUUUUUUAAUAAACUAUAUAACUUUAAUAUACAUGAAAUUGAAAGAUAUUGGAGGUUGAUAAUUGAUGUGAUGUUAAUCCACUUAACCAGUGAUUCUAAACUUGCUUCGUGUUAAUUGAUUUGAACUAGAUUUAAAAACUAUAAUACAAGGGUUAACUUGAUAAUUAUAGAUUGAAUUCAUGUUUGCAUUUGCUUAAACUAUAUAUAAAAACAAAAAAUAAAAAUUGUAAAUAAUUUUUUACUCGGUAGUCAAAGUUUUAGUUGUUGACUUAACUGUCAAUCACAAAUGGAGACACAAUUUGUCAUAAUUGAGGGAACAAUAUUUAACUACAAAGUUUUUUUUUUUUUAAUAUAUCUUUAAUAUACAUGAAAAUGGAAGACAUUGAAGGUUGAUAAAUGAUGUUAACUCACGUACAUAUUUAAAAUCAUUAUUGUUAAAUCACUUACAUGUUUAAACAUAUGCCACAUAAAUUUUAAAUUUAAUAUUCAUAAGUAUAGUAAUUAAAAAUUAGAUAAAUAUAUACUUUGAGGAUUAGCUUGUAAGGUGAUUUUUUAAAAAUAUAUAUCUAAAAUGAAAACAACAAAAUAAAAAUAAUAUGUAUAAAAAAGAUAGAAUAUAGAUGAAAAACACUUGAAACAAAAAACCUAAAUAUUGUAAAUAUUAUCCUACAAGAAAACAAACGAGUAAUUUUUUUUAUUAUUAAUCUAUAAAAAAUAUCAAUAUGUCCUUAAUUUAAAUAUAAACUAAAUAACCUUAUUAUAAUUUCUUCUUGUCCCACAUCAUUAAUGAAUAUAAAAAUACUAUGGUGUAAUUUUGGGAUAUAGCUUAACUGAUCAGAUUCUAAAUUUGCUCCUCGAAGAUCAUCAGUUCGAGUUUCAAAAAAUUCAGGGUCACUGGAAACUUAUAUGAUCGUUAACUUCAGGGCCCGUGGAAUUAGUCGAGGUACGCACAAACUAGACCGGACACCUAUAUUAAUCUAAAAAAAAAAACAGUAUGUUGUACCUCUAAUAUCGUCUUGGCUUUACAACCUUAAGUUAACACGAAGAACUAUAGCGAGCAAACACAUUGUAAGAUUUAAAUUCAAAGAGAAAUAUUAUAUAUAAAACCAAUUAAUGACUCAAUUUGAUCACAACUCAAGUUUGUUUAUAUCUAUAGAAUCUGCAAUUUGCUUUCGAGAUCAGCUAUGACCUCAGAAGUUGGCAAAAACUGGCAAAUCAGGAUGGUCUGCAAACAGUCCUUCCACUUGUUUCUGUAUGCACAUAAAGUCAUCAAAACGUCUUUGUAAGCCUCCUUGUUGAUGCGCUUCUGCACCUUCCUUACAAAAUCGACAGCUUCUUCAUGGUCUCUAGUAACCUUCUCCGCGGCCAUUAAUGCUUCUUAAUUGAUGCGAUUCUGAGAAGGUUAGAAAGCCGAAUAAAAGAACAGAUUACCCUAAUUAUUGCUAUUAUAGUUGUUUUUGUAUUAACCGGAGCACAAUAUUAUAUAUAUAUAUAUAUAUAUAUAUAUAUAUAUAUAUAUAUUUGUGCCCUAUCAACUCUAAUUAAAUCGGACUCCUAUCCUUGUUAUUUAUUACCAGGGCAUUAAGCCUAUCCAAUAGAGUAAGCGUAAAAAAUAUAUAUAUCUGGCCCAUACCCGUUAAAAAACCAACCACCUCUCAAGUCUCGACCCAUGGCCCAAAGCAUUUGAAGUCCUUAUGUUCAAAUGCUUUUCAAACUAAGUCUCUUGAUCUGUUAUAAGUUAAAACUCUAAGAAAUAAGACUAUUAUAAAUAUAUAAAGAUUUUUAAAAUAUUUAAUUUUGUUUUGCUUUAUUUUUAUUUUUCAAAAACUUAUUAUAAAUCUUUAUAUAGAAAAUAAACUAGAAAGAGGACUUGAUUUUAUA
rnacentral:lncRNA from 1 species